UUAAAGCCCCCAAAAGGCAAAACCCCUGUUCCUCCUUCAGGGGUCUUUUAUAGCAGCAUACAGGGUGGAGGCACUGGAAGAGCCCUGACUUUGUAACAGGAGAAACCUGCAUUACAGCUUGUCAGAACACAACUUUCCCUUUCCCUAUUUCCUAGCCUGAGCUGUGCCUAUUUUGGCCUACAGGUAAAAGCAAUUAACUGCAUCUCGCCUUGCUUGUGUCCAGUUCUCAUAAGCUUAAUCCGCUCCCCACAAACCCUGGACUCUUCUGCUCUGUUAUGGACUCUGGAGCCAUCCAUGGGCAUGAUCUCUACAGUUCCAGUGAGGAGCCAUGUCUUUGGGGAAAAGUGCUGUACUGUGGAUCCCACAAGAGGUUGGUCAUCAACAAGACUGGGUCAAGUUAUUGAUGACAUGAAAACAUGAGUUGAUAUUUUCAGCAUCAAAUUAUCUACAUUGACUGAUGUUAAUUCUGGAAAAGAACAGUGAUUGCUGCAGUGUAGGAUUUAACUGGUGAUAGGCAGCCCAGGAAUCUUUUUUGCAAACCAAGAGUGGCCCCUUGAUUGUGUGAUCAAAGCCUCCAGUCUGCCACAUCAUUAAAAUCAUUUCAGGAAAUACACAAAUCAGAUUCUGCGUGAUGGACCCUUCAGAAGAUCUGAGAAGCCAGCUUGGACAUUUAAAAUCAGAACUGUCAUUUCUACAUGUGCUGGCUGACAUCAGUAUGAGAAAUUCUUCUGGAAGACAAGGACUGCUGACCUCUGAGAUGACUAAAAAGGAUAUGAAGAAUGUUCUACAGAGACACCGAUUAUCAGAAAGUUGUCACAUGGUUACAUUUCAACUUGAAAAAAUUUCAGAUUCUGGAAAUGCAGGGAGAACAUGUGCCAGCCAACUUCCUCUGUGACGUCUCCCAGGAGAAACUCUCCAAGGCAGAAAUUCUGGAUAAAAUGGUGCCUUCUGUGCUGUUCUGGGACCCCAUCUUCAUCCCCACAACCAGGGACAGCAACCGAAGGUUCACCGCAACAGAGCAUGAACUCAACAGAGUGUUCAAAUGGUGACCCCAGAGGAUUUCCACUGCUGUGACUUAGCAAUGCAGUGUCCUGCUCUUGGCCCAGUUUGUUGUCCAGAGUAGGUGGCUCAGGUUAUUACUCCUAGAGGAUGAUUCUGGGACUCAGUAGGAUGAUCCCUGUACGUGAUAUCCCAAUGCCUCAUCCUUCAGAGUCAGUCAACUAAGUAAACCUAGCAUAAUCUCUGCCUUUGGAAGGCAAGGUAGAAUUAUGGGAUCUUGUCUCUUCCUGUAGUUGUAUCACCACAUCAAGGUGUGGAACCAACUUCAGAACCUAUUUUGGAGGAUGUGGAACUCAAAUUAUCUCGUUCAAAAGCUGUGGAGUUUGAGACAGCUCCCAAAGAGACUCCAGAGCUCCAUCAGGCAACGAUGCCGGUUCCAUCAUGUGAGUCUACCUGGCCUUGAUCUGUGACCGUAGAAAAGGUACUGAUUAAGUAUAAAACUCAACUCUUGACAUUCUAGCCCAAAUUGGUGGCAGAGCAAUUAAUGCUAACCGAUGUAAGUGGUUGUGCAAUCAUAGUGGAGGCAGGCAUU